AUUUUUACUAACAAGGUAGUACAAAAUUUUUAAUAAACCUUUCAUUAAUUGGCGGCAUUCCAUCCCCUUAGAGGAACAUGUUUUUUAAUCGAUAAUACACGCUUAUUCCCACUUAAUUUCAAAUUUUAUAUACCACCAUCCAAAGUUUAUUACAAAAUAUUCUUUAAAUAUAAUUCUUAGAGGUUAGGUAAAGGUGUAAAAUAUAAAUAAGUUUAAAUGUGUUACAUUAAACAUCAUUUAAGGAAUUUCACUCAAAAUUUUUAAGAAAAGGGAUUUAACAGUAUGCUUUUUUCAAUAUAAUAAAUUGAACAGGAAAAUUAAUGUGU
rnacentral:rRNA from 1 species